GGUGUUCAGACAGGCAGAUGCGUCCAUUACUCUGACUACAUAAAGACAUGUGAAGUGUUGGGCUGGUGUCCUGCGGAGAAAAAGUUGAACCUCCAAAUCCAGCACUCCUGGCAGAUGCUGAAAACUUCACAAUAUUCAUAAAGAAUAAUAUUCAAUUCACCAAAUUUAACUUCAGCAAAAUGAAUGUCCUCCAAACAUGAACAGGUCCUACUUGGGAAAUUGUGUGUUUAAAAGAAAUAUGGACAAUUACUGCCCAAUUUUCAGAAUCAAAGAUAUUUUUGAAGAAGCACAAGAGGAUUUUCAGACAACGGCAGUCUAUGGAGGAGUUAUGGCAGUACAAAUCCAGUGGGAUUGUAACCUUGAUUUGAAUUUGAUUUGUGUGUUCCCAGUACUCCUUCCGAAGACUAGACAAGAAGGAGACAAAUAUUAGUGAACCCCAGUGCACAACUU